GAUGAACGCUGGCGGCGUGCCUAAUACAUGCAAGUCGAGCGAACAGACGAGGAGCUUGCUCCUCUGACGUUAGCGGCGGACGGGUGAGUAACACGUGGAUAACCUACCUAUAAGACUGGGAUAACUUCGGGAAACCGGAGCUAAUACCGGAUAUAUAUUUAAACCCAUGGGUCAAUAAGUAAAGGCGGGUUUUGUGUUACCUAAAGAUGGGUCCGCGCCGCAUUAGCUAGUUGGUAAGGUAACGGCUUACCAAGGCGACGAUGCGUAGCCGACCUGAGAGGGUGAUCGGCCACACUGGAACUGAGACACGGUCCAGACUCCUACGGGGGGCAGCAGUAGGGAAUCUUCCGCAAUGGGCGAAAGCCUGACGGAGCAACGCCGCGUGAGUGAUGAAGGUCUUCGGAUCGUAAAACUCUGUUAUUAGGGAAGAACAAAUGUGUAAGUAACUAUGCACGUCUUGACGGUACCUAAUCAGAAAGCCACGGCUAACUACGUG
rnacentral:rRNA from 1 species